rnacentral:lncRNA from 1 species
GUAAAAUUAUAUAAGAGUUGCAAGUCACUCAUGAAAAUUUUAUAUUCUAAUUAGUACAUCAAAGGACCGGUCAAUUUCAUAACUAACCAAACGUAACAUUUAUUCAUUUUGAUUUAUAUAUAAUUUCCAGGGAGGCACUCUCAAUAAAAACAUUUUUUGUUGAAGCUUAUGAAAGCAACAACUUUCGAUCAGGACACUGGUUAGUCGAGUAUCAUUUUGGUAAUCGAUACAUGUUACUACCAAGCCAUUCUCGAGUACCAUCCCAGCCUACUAUUUUAUUUAAUUUGACUGUCAACUUUCUUCUUGACACAUUAUUUAUAUAAUAACAUCCAAAAUACAAAAC